UACGUAGGGUGCAAGCGUUAAUCGGAAUUACUGGGCGUAAAGCGUGCGCAGGCGGUUUUAUAAGUUUGUCGUGAAAGCCCCGGGCUCAACCUGGGAAUUGCGGAUGAAGACUGUAAGGCUAGAGUGUGUCAGAGGGGGGUAGAAUUCCACGUGUAGCAGUGAAAUGCGUAGAUAUGUGGAGGAACACCGAUGGCGAAGGCAGCCCCCUGGGAUAACACUGACGCUCAUGCACGAAAGCGUGGGGAGCAAACAGG
rnacentral:rRNA from 1 species